rnacentral:rRNA from 1 species
AUUAGGUGAAGUCAAUGAUCCCAUGCUGCCAAGAAAAGCCUCUAGCGAGCUUCGAGCGGCCCGUACCCCAAACCGACACAGGUGGUCAGGUAGAGAAUACCGAGGCGAUCGGGCGAACUGUGGUUAAGGAACUCGGCAAAUUACCCCCGUAACUUCGGGAGAAGGUGGGCCACAGACUGUCAUACCCCACGCGGGUGGCAGCAGUAGGUGGCCGCAGAGACCAGGGGGAAGCGACUGUUUACUAAAAACACAGGUCCGUGCGAAGUCGUAAGACGAUGUAUACGGACUGACGCCUGCCCGGUGCUGGAACGUUAAGGGGACCGGUUAGUCCGCAAGGGCGAAGCUGAGAACUUAAGCGCCAGUAAACGGCGGUGGUAACUAUAACCAUCCUAAGGUAGCGAAAUUCCUUGUCGGGUAAGUUCCGACCUGCACGAAUGGCGUAACGACUUCCCUACUGUCUCAACCACAGGCCCGGCGAAAUUGCACUACGAGUAAAGAUGCUCGUUACGCGCGGAAGGACGGAAAGACCCCGGGACCUUCACUAUAGCUUGACAUUGGUAUCCGAAUUUAAUUGUGUAGGAUAGGUGGGAGGCUUUGAGCCGCGGACGCCAGUCCGUCGGGGAGCCAACGUUGAAAUACCACUCUGUUGACUUUGGGUAUCUAACUUCGGACCGUGAUCCGGUUCAGGGACAGUGUCUGGUGGGUAGUUUAACUGGGGCGGUUGCCUCCUAAAAUGUAACGGAGGCGCCCAAAGGUUCCCUCAGCCUGGUUGGCAAUCAGGUGUUGAGUGCAAGUGCACAAGGGAGCUUGACUGUGAGACUGACAGGUCGAGCAGGGACGAAAGUCGGGACUAGUGAUCCGGCACCUGCGAGUGGAAGCGGUGUCGCUCAACGGAUAAAAGGUACCCCGGGGAUAACAGGCUGAUCUUCCCCAAGAGUCCAUAUCGACGGGAUGGUUUGGCACCUCGAUGUCGGCUCGUCGCAUCCUGGGGCUGGAGUAGGUCCCAAGGGUUGGGCUGUUCGCCCAUUAAAGCGGCACGCGAGCUGGGUUUAGAACGUCGUGAGACAGUUCGGUCCCUAUCCUCCGCGCGCGUAGGAGACUUGACAAGAGCUGUCCCUAGUACGAGAGGACCGGGACGGACGAACCUCUGGUGUGCCAGUUGUCAUGCCAAUGGCACGGCUGGUUAGCUACGUUCGGAAGGGAUAACCGCUGAAAGCAUCUAAGCGGGAAGCUCGCUUCAAGAUGAGGUCUCCCACCCCUUAGAGGGUUAAGGCCCCCAGCUAGACCACUGGGUUGAUAGGCCAGAAGUGUAAGCCUGGUAACAGGUUCAGCCGACUGGUACUAAUAGGCCGAGGACUUCACCU